GACGAACGCUGGCGGCGUGCUUAACACAUGCAAGUCGAACGGAAAGGCCCUGCUUUUGUGGGGUGCUCGAGUGGCGAACGGGUGAGUAACACGUGAGUAACCUGCCCUUGACUUUGGGAUAACUUCAGGAAACUGGGGCUAAUACCGGAUAGGAGCUCCUGCUGCAUGGUGGGGGUUGGAAAGUUUCGGCGGUUGGGGAUGGACUCGCGGCUUAUCAGCUUGUUGGUGGGGUAGUGGCUUACCAAGGCUUUGACGGGUAGCCGGCCUGAGAGGGUGACCGGACACAUUGGGACUGAGAUACGGCCCAGACUCCUACGGGAGGCAGCAGUGGGGAAUAUUGCACAAUGGGCGGAAGCCUGAUGCAGCAACGCCGCGUGCGGGAUGACGGCCUGCGGGUUGUAAACCGCUUUCGCCUGUGACGAAGCGUGAGUGACGGUAAUGGGUAAAGAAGCACCGGCUAACUACGUG
rnacentral:rRNA from 1 species